rnacentral:pre_miRNA from 2 species
GCAAAUUGAGGUAGUAGGUUGUAUAGUAGUCCUAUAAAAUUAACAUACUAUACAACGUGCUAGCUUUCUUUGC